UGAGCAGGUGGUAAUUAUCAUGAUUAACUGCUGCUGCGUACCUUCAAAUUUCAGGCAAUUGCUGUACUUUAGCACCCACCUUUACUGGGGGGCUUCCCUGGGCUUUCAAUGUGAGCCUGUCUGCUUUACGGGAUUUUGCAGGCUGUAAACUAUCUCUGGGCACUGGACUCUAUUAUUUGCAUAUAGAUGCUAAAUAAUGCUAGCGACAAUGUUUAGAGAAAUUUGGCAUUUUCCAAGCUGUACCUGCAGUCAUGUUUUCCAGCAGUUCAGCCACUUGUUGCAUGAGCAGAGAGAAAAUGAACCACAAGCACUGAUCUUUCUCUCUUUUAACCUCAGGGCUCCCAGCUUCACUCCUCCCUGCUUCUAAAUCACAGCUUAUUGCUAUUUUUACAAGAGAAGAUUAAUGGACUUAAAUGGGCACAGAUAUCUGAGUAUCUCACACACUGGCGGACAAGUAUUUUGAUUGUUCAGCCCUGGUUUUACAUUUAAUAGCCCCGCUACCUUCUCCCGACAGCGCCCGCACUCUGCUCCCACAUGUGGAACAGUUUACAUUGCCCUUUUGCACAGUGGUGGAAGAGUUGGGCUCAGCUUGUGCUGCAAGCAUCAGCUCAGGCUGCUUCUGAAGCCCAUCAGGAGCCCGCUCUCGCUGCCACAACUAUCACAAAACAGAAGACACAGCACAGAAAAAGGACCGGGAUCUGGCAGUGCUGCCUGAAAGCAGGAUUUUUACCUAUUCUGCAGUUAUUCUGCAGCCCCAUGGCACCAAACAUUCAUUAGCAACCAGUGCAAUUUUGGAGCAAGUUGUAUUUACGUGUAGGAACAAGGACUCAUAAUCGUUGUCAUCUACAUAGUGUUGUUUUACAUAACAGCUGCAGUAGAGCAAGUGCACUUUGGUCAAUAGUUUCAUUUAUAAUAAAGUAAUAAAUUAGGAAUAUUUUUCCCUUGACAAUAAGUUUUAUGCCAAGAUUUUAUGUAGCUUAAAGCAAGUUGUCAAUUAGGCUACUUAAAUUAAUUUUUGGCAGCAGUUAAUUGGAGCCUAGAGUCUUUUGUCUUUAAACAGCUAAUCCUAAACAAGAAAAUACAAUGAUUAAAUGUUUCUUAAACAAUAUUAUUCACAGAAUUUAAAAUAUAGCAUUUAAUUAAGAUUUGGACUUGUUAAUCUCUCUCUCUCUCUCUCUCUUUUUUUUUUUUUUUUUUUUUUUUGAGAGAGAGAGAGAUUAAUUUAAAUUUCUUGAAAUAAAAAUGCUACCACGACUCUGAUUAAACUGGCUUACCACAGGGCUAUGGUCAGAGACCUUGCAACACUUCUACAGCUCUUAUGCCCAGCAGCAAAAGAUUUUGGAUUCAUUUCUAAAGAGACAUAUUUUGUCCUUUCAGCGAAGCAGGACAUUCACCUCUGGAGCUCCGGAUGUCUGAGUUGUGUUCACAGGAUAAAAAUGUUGUAUUAUUGCAUUCAUGUUCUGGUAAAUGCUCUAAAUAAAUACAAGACUUCAGUGAGCAACCCCAACAUGGCUGGCUUCUGGGCAGAAAACCAAGACUUCUUAAAACCAGAAAUCAUGGAGGUUUACUUCAAAAAGACCAGUAACCAACAAUUAAAUCCAAGGCUCUGAUUACUCUAAUGUGUUUCCUAUCAAUGAAAGUAGGGCAGCUAGAGAGAGGUCUCCCAGUCUUGAUUUUAUUUUUUUUCUAGUUCUGGAAAUUUGCUAUAUUCCUGGAUAAAUGUAACAUAUGGUAUCAUGAUUUGCACAGAAAUGAGUUCUGAUAAAACAAUAGUCCUGACUGAAUCUCUCAUUUAUAUCCACAAUCACUGCUGAAACAGAGAGUGAGUUAUGGCACAGAUCUUUGGUAUGUUACACAGGAGUUAAGAUUAGAUAAUUAUAAAGCUUCCUACUAUGAAAUCCCUGAAGAUAAUUUGUAAUUAAUGAAUUAAUUAAAGAACAAAAAAGAUGCAUUCUCAGUGAUAAGUGUAUCGAGUCACCUUCUUCCUCAUAAUUCUGGCCGUCAGUGCCUCCUUCCAAUAGAGAAUCUACAUGUGCAGAAUCUACAAGUCUCAAACAUGACUGCACAUGUUUGAGACUUUCUGGAGCAAGAGCCCGUUAGCUCAAGUA